GAUGCGAAGGCUCAGGACCAGAGUGACCGAACGUGAGUCCCUUCCUGCCUCGGCCCAGGCCCCCCUCCUUGGAACUGACCCAACAUCUGAGGACGACUUUAGAUUUCCACAAGCCACGUGUUUAAUGAAUACCCAGAUGACUCAGGAAUCCAAAAGAAGACUCGAGUUGGACACAAGGAGAACCGCUAAAAACCUUGGACAGAGCUGCAGACCACCAGUGUUUGGGAAUCAUCUGAGUGGAAGCUAUCUGGCAGCCCGUGGCUCACUCAUUUUUUCUUUCAAUAAGGAGCAGACGUGCCUGCCGGUGAGGGGACUUGCUCCUUGCACAUGUUGGCUGUCCUGCGAUUGUCAACAGGGGCCCGAACAACUAGGUGUAUAGAGGAGGCCAAGAGCCAGAAGACCUCUGAGCAAGAUGAUUUACAGCUGGGAGGGUGGACCCUCGGGCCAUUCAUCCACAGGUGUUCCUUGUGGAAGACGUCAGCACGCAGUCGUUUG